CUGUGGCUUGUUGCAGGUGACUUGUGGUGGAUACAUAUCUAAUGGAGAUUUUGAAGGAUCAUACAUGGACACGUGGCAGUGUAGUAAAUGUACCAUGGCUAGAGUCAAACAACCCCAUAAUGGUCAAUACAGUGUCAUGGUGUCUGCACGACAAGAUGCUGAUGGUAUAGCUACGGGCGUCAAUGGUCAUUUAGCCAGUAAACGGGUGGUUAUCAAAACUUUCAUCAAAUUCCUUAACCUUCCAACUGGCAAACAUUACGACAUGGUUUCUAUCAUGAUAGAAACUAUUCGAAAAGAUGGUAAACAUUACUAUGAUACUAUAGCUAAUGACAGGUAUAUUAGAUUAAAUGAAUGGGUAGAAAUAGGGGCUGAUUAUCAUUUUCACUGGGAGGCUAAAAGUUAUGCCCGUGUGUAUCUAAAGAUAGCAGAUACUAGUGUUAAUUAUUUACUGGAUGAUGUUUCUGUAGUCGAUUUACCCAACAACUCUAACUGGCAAGCCCUAGCUGAUGACUAUAUAGAGAAACAUAGAAAAUCAGAUAUUACUAUCAGUCUCGAAGACCACCCAUCAGCAGCUAAACAUCUUACUGUCAGGGUUGAACAAAUACGCCAUGAGUUUGCAUUUGGAAGUGCCAUCUCGCUAGGUCGAUCAAGGAGUACAGAUUAUGAAAAUACAGAAUAUCAAAAGAGAUUUUACGAUUUGUUUGAAUGGGCCGUCACCGAAGACUCUAUAAAAUGGGGAAGCUGUGAAAAAACACAGGGUGACGUACAUUUAACAUACCAAUUCAAUGCCAUCGACAACCUCAUUAGUAGAGGGAUUAAAGUCCGAGCUCAUAAUCUGUUCAGUAAAGGGAGACUACCUGCUUGGGUUAAAACGCUCACCAAAGACGAGGUAAUGAAAGCUUUUCAGAAGAGAAUACAAGAUGUCGUCGUUCCAUUGAAAGGAAAAGUUGAACACUGGGAUAUCAACAAUGAAAAUCUCCAUGCUGAUACAUUUGAAACAAUGAGUGGUGACCCGAAUAUAACCGUCUGGAUGUUCAAGCAAGCGCAUAAGGCCGACCCAAAUGCUAAACUCUUUUUAAACGAUCAAGAUAUUAUCAAGAAUCCACCUGAGGCCUUAUUCGCACUGAAACAUCAGAGUUCUUUCCUCCGGUCUGCAGGAGCACCUCUAUAUGGUUUAGGCAUACAGAGUCAUCUAUGGGAUCCAAGCGAUCUGCCCACCAUGAGGUAUCGAUUAGAUGAACUUGCUAAAACAGGGCUGCCAUUAUGGAUCACAGAAUUAGACUACUAUAAUUAUGGCGACCCGGUUAAAAUGGCCAAAAAGUAUGGUCAGUUUUUGAGGUUGUACUUUGGUCAUCCAGCAGUUGAAGGUGUACUUGUGUGGGGUUUCUGGGAUAAACAACACUGGCGACCCCAUGCGGCCUUAUUUAAUGGUCAUGAUGUUGCCAUAAAUCCAUCCGGACAAAUGUUUCAAGAUUUGAUUCACAAAGAAUGGCAGACAAGCGAGUCUCAUCCGUUACCAGUUGGCGGGAAUGUACACAUGAGAGGCUUCAAUGGAGAUUAUAAAGUAUCAGUUUUACAUGGAAACGCCGUUUUAAACACACAUAAUUUUACAUUAAGCAAAAAUGGCGCCAGUGUGAAAGUAUCAAGUCAUCUUGAUGGUGGUCACGUGGACAUUAUAAUUGGUUAACUGGCGUAAUACGUGUUUUUUAACAUACUAAACAGUAAAAAGGAAACUGUUGUUCUUUGGUUACUUUGUUGUUUCAAACCCAG